rnacentral:misc_RNA from 1 species
UCUAAGGAGUCGACGAAGUAGGUAACUCUACUUUGAACGGUUUAUUUACACUCUGUUUAAUUUUGAGGGAUUAUAUCUCUCGAGUAACUAUUGUAAAAUCGUAGAUUUUGGAUAGAUACUUAAUGUUCUUUGAAAAUUGCACAGUGAAAGUAGUUAAACAACGCAAUUGUUUAACUAAUAUACAAAGUAAAGCAAAAAGGUAUAAAAGCCUUUGUAACUUUAAUGAAACUCGUUAGUUUACUAAUGAGAAUUAAUU